AUACGGAGGAUCCGAGCGUUAUCCGGAUUUAUUGGGUUUAAAGGGUGCGCAGGCGGGAGAUUAAGUCGGCGGUGAAAUUUUGCAGCUCAACUGUAAAAGUGCCUUCGAAACUGGUUUUCUUGAGUGUAGAUGAAGUAGGCGGAAUUUGUGGUGUAGCGGUGAAAUGCAUAGAUAUCACGAGGAACUCCGAUUGCGCAGGCAGCUUACUAAACUACUACUGACGCUCAGGCACGAAGGCGUGGGGAUCAAACAGGAUUAGAUACCCUGGUAGUCCACGCAGUAAACGAUGAUUACUAGCUGUUUGCGAUACAAUGUAAGCGGCUGAGCGAAAGCGUUAAGUAAUCCACCUGGGGAGUACGUUCGCAAGAAUGAAACUCAAAGGAAUUGACGGGG
rnacentral:rRNA from 1 species